AACGAACGCUGGCGGCAUGCCUAACACAUGCAAGUCGAACGAGACCUUCGGGUCUAGUGGCGCACGGGUGCGUAACGCGUGGGAAUCUGCCCUUGGGUUCGGAAUAACAGUUGGAAACGACUGCUAAUACCGGAUGAUGACGUAAGUCCAAAGAUUUAUCGCCCAGGGAUGAGCCCGCGUAGGAUUAGCUAGUUGGUGGGGUAAAGGCCUACCAAGGCGACGAUCCUUAGCUGGUCUGAGAGGAUGAUCAGCCACACUGGGACUGAGACACGGCCCAGACUCCUACGGGAGGCAGCAGUGGCGAAUAUUGGACAAUGGGCGGAAGCCUGAUCCAGCAAUGCCGCGUGAGUGAUGAAGGCCUUAGGGUUGUAAAGCUCUUUUACCCGGGAUGAUAAUGACAGUACCGGGAGAAUAAGCCCCGGCUAACUCCGUG
rnacentral:rRNA from 1 species